rnacentral:rRNA from 1 species
CGCAGCCGCGGUAAUUCCAGCUCCAAUAGCGUAUAUUAAAGUUGUUGCAGUUAAAAAGCUCGUAGUUGAAUUUCGGGGUUAGUAGAUUGGUCAUGCCUCCGGUAUGCACUGGUCUUACUGAUUCCUCCUUCCUGAUGAACCGUAAUGCCAUUAAUUUGGUGUUGCGGGGAAACUGGACUGUUACUUUGAAAAAAUUAGAGUGUUUAAAGCAGGCUAACGCUUGAAUACAUUAGCAUGGAAUAAUGAAAUAGGACGUUCGAUCUUAUUUUGUUGGUUUCUAGGAUUGACGUAAUGAUUAAUAGGGAUAGUUGGGGGCAUUAGUAUUCAAUUGUCAGAGGUGAAAUUCUUGGAUUUAUUGAAGACUAACUACUGCGAAAGCAUUUGCCAAGGAUGUUUUCAUUAAUCAAGAACGAAAGUUAGGGGAUCGAAGACGAUCAGAUACCGUCGUAGUCUUAACCAUAAACUAUGCCGACUAGGGAUCGGAUGAUGUUAAUUUUUUAAUGUACUCAUUCGGCGCCUU